UCUCCAACUGCUUCAACUACAUCUCUGACUACUACGACUAUAUCUUUGACUGCUUCAACUAUACAUUCGACUACUACGACUACAUCUUCGACUACACCGCAUCUUUGACUACUUCGACUGCAUCUCGGACUGUUUCAACUAUAUAUCUGACUACUACAACUACGUCUCCGACUACUGCAGUUACACCUCCAACUACUACAACUACAUCUUUGACACUUUGACUACAUUUCUUACUGCUUCAACUACACCUCCGACUACUACGACUACAUCUUCGACCCCUUCGACUACAUCUCUGACUGCUUCUCUAUUUUGGCGGUUUUUCAGUGGACAGAGAGCUAGUAUUUUGAUCACCAGGGAAAAUCUACUUACCCAAAAUUUCCAAAUUUCAACAGUAGCUGAUCGAGAGUGCUCAAAACAGGUAGAACACUAAAGUGUGGAAGUUUCUAGUGUUGCCCACUGAGUACUAGUCCGAAAAUUCUCAAAAUUUAGCAGCAGAAAGGGGGCAAAUUUUGAAGCAACUUCCCUAUUGAGCUUUUCUUCAGAUAAGGCUGACGGAUAAUGGAUGACCGGAUUGAUCCUACUGCUGACAGCCAUUUUAACCAACAGGAGGCGAUAAGCGGAAAAUGAACAGUGUACCGUGAAUCCAACGUCUGCUGGCUCUGACCUGACCUCACCGUGUGGAGUAUCCUCUCUACAUGUCUUGAGCAUCAGGACCAUCUUCUCGCGAAACUUCCAUGACCUUAGGUGACAACAUAGGGGAGUGAAGGCUUGCUGAAGAAUUAGCCCCAAGUAGUGUCAUGUACUAUCAAACUCUAGCUAACAGAGGCACUUCUGCCUUGUGGCGUUGAGGCAACACAAGUGAUCACUAUGGUUGCAAAACUUUAUAAGUGGUGGGACCAUGGUCUCAAAACAGUAUGAGCACUCUGUGCGAUCCAUCGUCUAUUCUUGUAUGAAAGAAUUGGAAGCUUGUUAUCCA